UAGCACGACGCUCUCGUACGCAAAGCUGAGCUGACGGCUAUAUCUGCUCCAAAUUCCACAUAGAAAAUUGCGAGAGCAGCACUGCAGCAGCCGGCGGCGGCCAUACCCAGGGAAUCUCCGGAGCUGGUUUCGUGGAACAAUGGUCCAAUACGCCGUGGUGGACGCCUUCGCGGCGGAGCCGUUCAAGGGCAACCCAGCCGCGGUGUGCCUACUCGAGGACGCCGCUAAGGCCGCGGACGAGCGUUGGAUGCAGUCCGUCGCUGCCGAGUUCAACCUCUCCGAGACCGCCUUCCUCUUCCGCGACUCCUCCGCCGGCGCCACCCCACGGUUCCAGCUCCGAUGGUUCACCCCUGCCGCCGAGGUGGAGCUCUGCGGGCACGCGACGCUGGCCUCCGCUCACUUCCUCUUCACCUCCAUCCUCGCGGAGCACGACGCAGUCGUCGAGUUCGCGACCAAGUCCGGGAUUCUCGCCGCCAAGAAGGUUCCUGCACCGGAGAGCACGGGCGUGUCAGGUGAGGGGAAGCUGUUCAUCGAGCUGGAUUUCCCCAUGAUCGAUCUCUACGAGUGCGAUAACGCCGAGCUGCUGACCAUCCUCAAGACUUUGAACGGAGCUUCCGUCGUCAGCGUCCACAAAUCGGCGACCGUCGGUGACCUCAUCGUGGAACUUUCCUCAGCAAAAGAGGUCGCCGAUAUCAUUCCUGACAUCAAUGAAAUUAAAAAAUGUUCCGGCGGAGGAGUUGUUGUUACGGGACCAGCGCCUGCUGGAUCUGGUUAUGACUUCUUCACACGUUUCUUCUGCCCAAAAUUUGGCAUAGAUGAGGUGAUGUUGCAAUUUUUGUCCCAAGCUGUAUCUUCAGAGAUCCUGUUUGUGGUAGUGUACAUUGUGUUUUAGCACCCUACUGGGGUGGGAAGCUGAAGAAACAAAAGCUGACAGCGUUUCAGGCAUCUCCAAGGAGCGGAAUAUUAUACCUGCAAUUGGAAGCUGCAUCCAGGAGAGUGCGAAUUCAGGGAGAGGCUGUCACUGUGAUGACUGGUACCCUCUUAGCCUAGCAUCUCCCCGUGUAUGCUUUGAAAUCUGAAGGACGAGGGUCGACGAACCUACAGGCAAUUCUAUUUGCUGCUGUCGGCUUGUGAAAAAUUAUUAAUUUAUGGAAAUAAAAGCUUCUGAACUUUUCUGGGGCAUCAAAAUAAAGUGGCAGUUUGUAAAUUCAUGCUUACCAGCUCAUUUUGGUUUGUCAUUUCUCAAUGUACUGUAGCCGAGAGUUUUGGAGUAUAUGCUACCUUGUUUGAGUUUCUUGUCAUGUUUUGAAAUGUGAAAGUGAAUGCAAUACAAGAUGAUUAGGAAUUUAAACUGAA